rnacentral:rRNA from 1 species
UAGGGAAUAUUGGUAAUGUGCGAAAGCGCGAACCAGCAACGCCGCGUGCACGAUGAAGGCCUUCGGGUCGUAAAGUGCUUUUAGAGAGGAUGAGGAAGGACAGUACUUUCUGAAUAAGCCUCGGCUAACUACGUGCCAGCAGCCGCGGUAAAACGUAGGAGGCUAGCGUUAUCCGGAUUUACUGGGCGUAAAGCGCAUGCAGGUGGUUUUGUAAGUUGGAUGUGAAAGCUCCUGGCUUAACUGGGAGAGGUCGUUCAAAACUACAAGACUUGAGAUUGGUAGAGGAAAAUGGAAUCCCGGGUGUAGUGGUGAAAUGCGUAGAUAUCCGGAGGAACACCAGUGGCGAAAGCGGUUUUCUGGACCAAUUCUGACACUCAGAUGCGAAAGCUAAGGUAGCAAACG